rnacentral:rRNA from 1 species
UACAGAGGUCUCAAGCGUUGUUCGGAUUCAUUGGGCGUAAAGAGCUCGUAGGCGGUUUGUCGCGUCUGCUGUGAAAGCCCGGGGCUCAACCCCGGGUCUGCAGUGGGUACGGGCAGACUAGAGUGCAGUAGGGGAGACUGGAAUUCCUGGUGUAGCGGUGAAAUGCGCAGAUAUCAGGAGGAACACCGAUGGCGAAGGCAGGUCUCUGGGCUGUAACUGACGCUGAGGAGCGAAAGCAUGGGGAGCGAACAGG